rnacentral:rRNA from 1 species
AGCGAACGCUGGCGGCAGGCUUAACACAUGCAAGUCGAGCGGGCAUCCUUGUGGUGUCAGCGGCAGACGGGUGAGUAACGCGUGGGAACGUGCCCUUCGGUUCGGAAUAACUCAGGGAAACUUGAGCUAAUACCGGAUACGUGCGAGAGCAGAAAGGUUUAUCUGCCGAAGGAUCGGCCCGCGUCUGAUUAGCUAGUUGGUGAGGUUAUGGCUCACCAAGGCGACGAUCAGUAGCUGGUCUGAGAGGAUGAUCAGCCACACUGGGACUGAGACACGGCCCAGACUCCUACGGGAGGCAGCAGUGGGGAAUAUUGGACAAUGGGGGCAACCCUGAUCCAGCCAUGCCGCGUGAGUGAUGAAGGCCUUAGGGUUGUAAAGCUCUUUUCCCCGGGACGAUAAUGACGGUACCGGAGGAAUAAGCCCCGGCUAACUUCGUG